CGAGCAACGGAAGUUAAAAAAUCGGGCAAGAUUGAACGCAAAGGCAAGCGGGACAUUUGAGGAUGGGGUGACUGCGUACCUUUUGUAUAAUGGGUCAGCGACUUAUAUUCUGUAGCAAGGUUAACCGCAUAGGGGAGCCGUAGGGAAACCGAGUCUUAACUGGGCGAAUGAGUUGCAGGGUAUAGACCCGAAACCCGGUGAUCUAUCCAUGGGCAGGUUGAAGGUUGGGUAACACUAACUGGAG
rnacentral:rRNA from 1 species